rnacentral:other from 1 species
UUUACCCUGCCUUGCGCGUGAUCCGCAACAAGGUCCUUGAACCGUACUAAACGUUCCUGGGACACAAGCCGCGCAGGCUGUGGCCGACAGGCCUUCCGGAGCGAAGGAAGUCGAAAGCAGCCCGGCCCGUCCCACAUGUUGCACGACAUGUUCAAAGGAAUAGUUGCCCACGGCAAAGGCGGGGUAUUU